rnacentral:lncRNA from 10 species
UGGAAAGGGAGGGAAGGAACUCAGGGGGUUUAGGGACAAGGAAAAGACAGCCUAGCCUGGGGGAACACCUGCGGGCUCCUGAGGCCUGGUAGAUGGAUUUAGAAGGACACAAAAGGGUCACUGGGCAGCUUUGCAGAGAGCUCAGCGUGGUGCUUGUCACUCCUCGUUUAUGUGGUUGCUCCAUUUACAUUCCCCCAGUGGUCCAGGCAGCUGCAGAGGCUGCUGGGUCUCUCUCACUGCUCGGGAACAAGGUGAAGUCAAAUGGAAAAGCUCUGAAGGAGAGGAGCAGGACAGCUUGGUGCACCAGUGGAGUGCAGGAAGGAAAGGAAAGAGAAUGAGAAAGCUGAGAGAAAAAAAGUCAUCAAGGAGAAAAAAAUGGAGGAAAAGCUAAUACACAGAAAAGGAGACAGACUCAAGAAAAAAGAAAAAGAAAAAGACAAAGAAACAGAGGGAAAAGGUAUCAUGCAUUUAAAAAGAUGGUGCUACAUGGUGUGUUGGAAGGCUAGUGACCUGUUAGGCACUUGGAAAAAUUUAUGCAGCUUCAAGGCUCAUCUCAAAAGCUAACUCUGAGGCCUUCUUGACCUUCCGAGCUGUGCCGGGUCUCUCCAUCCCCUGUGGGCUCAUUAGAACUUGGAUAUUCCUUUAAUGCAAACAACACAUGGAAAUAGAAUGGACAAUCAUUCCCAUUUAGUUGUCAGCUGUUCAAGGUCAAUACUUAUGCUCUGUUGAUCUCUCUAACCCUCUAGAUCUGGUGCCUGGCAUGCUGUAGCUACCAGUAAAUGAGGCAACAGUCUUCUGGAAGCUGCACUUCUAUUACACAUAUACUGAUGUUCACCAAGAAGAACACACCAAAAAGAUAAAUUUAGUUAACAUUGAGCCUGUGUAUAAAGAGACACACUGGAUAAAGGAUAUAAAUUUAGAUGUUAUAGCAUGGAGGAAGUAGGGGAGAGAGGAAAUGACGCUAAUUGAGCAACUAGUUUUUACCUGGUACAACACAAAGUCUUAAAUAUGUUAUCUAAUUCAGCCAUCAUCACAACCCCUGCAGGUAGGUAUUUAACUCCUUAGAUGGCUAUUGUAUUCUUUUCUCUACAGGCCCUAUUUUAGAUGAUAGACUCUGAUGGUGAACAAGAGAAGCAGAGAUCUCAUUGCUUGUUUAUACACAAUCUAGCAACUAUUCUACAGUUCAGACAGGACACGUGAAUUGACUGGCUUUACAUAGCUCCCAAAAAUUCACACACGAAUUGACUGGCUUUACAUAGCUCACAAAAUUGACUGACUUUACAUAGCUCACAAAAUCGACUAGGUUUACAUAGCUCAUUUAAGUCUGGCCUGUGUGGCUGUAAGGUCUACUCUCUUUAUGUAUUGUAGGUAACAUAUAUUCCAGAAGUAACCCAGGAAACUCUGAAAUUUUCAUUUUGCAACCAAGAAGGGCAUCCAGGAAAAGCUAGCAAUUCUGGAGCGUUCUGGGACCUCCAAAUAGUCUUUGGUGAUGUUUAACAGCCUCCGUAAUUUCAUCAGUUAGUGCUGGGUUCGGGAUGAGGCAUUACAUGGCGGAAGGCGAGGGAUGGUUCUCUGUCACUUUAAGUCCUAAAUUAUUUUCAGGUGUUUGUUUCGAGGCAGGACGGGGAGGCAGCCUGCCAUUUAGUGGAAAGGGUGGACAUGGCCUCCUUUAGACCUCUCAUCAGAGUUACUGUUUCGAGUAAUGAAGAAGCACGGGGAUUGAUUUGAUGCCUAAUGAAUAAUCAGCUGCCAUCAAUAAUUGUAAUCACUAAUCUGGUGCAAUUAGAGGCAAUUAUAAUAAAUGCAAUUUCCUCUCGUGCCACUAACGAACUACAGAAGUAUGAAUUGACUCAAGGGGGCUGGCAGUGAUUUAUGUGAUUGUGAGAUCAUGAAUCCCAUUAUCUUGGGAAAGACUCUUAAAGGGGCAGGGUCCUAUUCUGAUGUCACCGCUUCCUAAUGAGAAGCUAGAAAAUGCAAUUCUAGAGGUAAUGAGCACAGAGGCUACUGUAUUUCUCUCACAACUGGCUUUAGAUAAGGGCCUUGUGCAGAUUCAGCUGGGCUGCCAUGCAAAGGCCUGUUCCUUUAAGUUCUGUUUACUGUAGUGAUACACCUUUAAGUCUUGAAGAAUGAAGAUGAAAUAUUCCAAACUAUGCUGCACAAGAGGAUGUGAACAGAAACAUCUGGACGGAGAAGAUCUUUUUUAUAUUCAGCCAUGCCAAUUGACCUACUACCCUCUCCAUAGCCAAAGGAAUGCCCAAAUUUCCACAGAAAGGCAUUUUUAUGACAGGACAGUCCAGAGAGAACCAACAGCCUUUGCCUGAGCUCUGCUCCAGAGCUCCUCCAGCCCCGUGAUCAGGCACUAACUAUAACAACUGAACCGAUGGAAGUAAAUCCUACCCCAGCGGGGCACUGGCAGGAUUAAAGCAGAUGAAGAAGCUCAUCCCUGUGGACCUUUCUCUUGAAUGCCUACUAUGAGUCACUCAGCAAGAGAGGCACCCAGCUCCCUCAAGGUCUGCAGUGCCUCGGAGGCCCACUUCCCUCCAUGACACAGUCUCUGAACAUAUUAUUCCUCACGGAUGAUCACCUUCUUAACUCCAUCCAGACGUGUGCCUCUGUCUCACUAUUUAGCGUUGUCCUAGAAAAUACUGAGUAAUUGUUUCAUGCGUAUACAUCAUGUUUCCUCAAGUAGAAUCUACCUUUAUACAAUCAAAAGUGUCAGAUUGAUGGAUGAGUAGCAGGUAAAUUUCUGAUAAAGAGAAUUAAAUUAAGUGUUAAUUGUAGAAUCUAGUGAUGGGUUUAUGGGUCUUAACUGUAAAAAUCUUUCAUCUUUUCUGUAUGUUUGAUAACUUUCAUAUAAAAAUAAUAAAAACUUUAGUUUAUCUUCUAUGUAAUUACAUGUUUACUUAAC